UGGGGAGGGGUGGUGUUGGGGGAAAACUGAAGGUAGGGGUGGGCCAUUAUGGCAUUGGAGAAUGGGAACAGCUGGGCAACCAAAGAAUUAACCCCAGAGAGGACACUGGGAAGAGAGAGAGUGUCUCCACCUUCCAACUUGCUCAUGUUCACUCCUUCAUUGGCUUAUCCUGGCUCCUAGCAAGUUUGACUGAAUCACACUGAGUUGGCAGAAUGACAGGACUUAUUCAACCCACAAUAGUGUCUCUUUCCAGCUAGUUAUGGUGUUCAAUCAAACAGUCAACACUGAUGAAGAGAGGACGAGGUGCCGAGAAUUCUGCUACACAUCCUGAGUGGGAAAAACAAAACAGAACAGAACAUGGUGCCAUCUCUUUUCAUUUUACUGUGCCAGGCUAACAGGCCUGACCAUUGAAACUACAAGGACAUAGUUGUAGUUGUUGUUGAUGAUGUUGAUGAUGAUGAUAAUGUUGUUCGGUUGUUCAGUCGUGUCUUCUUUUUUGUGACUCCAUGGACCACAGCAUGUCAAAUCCUUCUGUCCUCCACUAUCUCUCAAAGUCUGUCCAAGUUCAUGUUCAUUGUUGCUAUCUAUCCUUCUCAACUUCUACCACCCCUUUUCCUUUUUUCUUUAAUCUUUUCCAACACCAGGAUCUUUUCCAUUGAGUCUUGUUUUCUUAUUAUGUGGUCAAAGUAUUUAAGCUUCAGCUUCAGUAUUUGAUCUUCCAGUGAAUAGUAUCAAUAUCUUUUAAGUACUGACUGAUUUGAAAUCCUUGCUGUCCAAGGGACUCCCAAAGUCUUCUCUGGCACUAUAAUUAGAAAGUUUCAAUUCUACUGUAAUUGGUUUUCCUUGUGGUCCAAUUCUUACAACCAUACAUUGACACUGGAAAACCAAAGCUCAUAUUCAGACUUUGGUCAUCAGGUGUGAUGUCUCUGCCUUUAGUAUACUGGCUAGAGUAGCCUUCUCCCCAAGAAGCAAGUAUCUUUUAAUUUUAUGACCACAGUCUCCAUCUGCAAUGCUCCUUGAAAAGCCCCAGAAUAUAAAAUCUGACAAUGCUUUGUUUGCCAGGAAGUAAUGGGACCAGUGUCCCUCUGCCACAACAAGGCAGUGAUCCAGAGAGUAAGAACAUAACCAAGGCACUCAGAUCCUACCCAGUGGCAGCUCAUUCCAAUUGUAGAAAAAAAGGUGCUAAUUAGAAAUAAAUCCCUUGGUGUCCAUCAAUUGGGGAAUGACUGACUGAACAAAUUGUGGUACAUGUUUGUGAUGGAAUAUAAUAAAUGAUAAAGAAGAUAAUAUCUGCAGGAACAGAUGCAGAGUGAAACAAGCAGAAUCAGAAGAACAUUGUACACAAUAACAGCAAUUUUGCAUGAUGAGCAACUGUGAAAAUUUGGCUGCUCUCAGUAAUGCAAUGAUCUGGGACAAUUCUGAAAGACAUGAUGGGGAAUGCUCUGCAUCUCCAGAGAAAGAACUAUUGGAGUUGGGUAGAUGCGAGUCAAAGUAGACUAUCUUUUAUAUCUGUGCAUUUAUGGUUUUAUUUUGGGGUUUUGGUUUUGUAUGAGUGUGCCCUUGCAAUAAUGACCAAUAUAGGAGCAUGUUUUGCAUUUUUUUAAAAUGUAAAAAGAAAGGAAAAUAUAAAAAGAAAAAAAAAAGAAAUCCCUUAAGUCCAAGCCUUCCAAAUCCAAACUUGGUUUGGAGAUCCAAUUAAUAAGUUCUAGUUUGGUUCAUUAAAAAUAGCUCAAAAAAGACAUGUACCUUAACCCUGGGAAAAGGCCAGGAGAGGAUCAAUGUAAGAUCUCAAGAAAGAAAUACAUAGAAAAAAUAGUGAGAGCUAUUUACAUACAUAGUCAUGUUUGUUUUUUAUUCAGUGUUUCCUUUAUUCAAGGUUUCCACUGCUAGAACUAUACCAUAAAGAUGCUAUUAAAAAUUUAAAAAUGUUUAUCCAUAAAAGAAUGUUCAUAGCAGCUUUAUUCAUAAUUGCAACAAUCUGGAAAUAAGCCAUAUGUCUAAUGAUUAAGAAAUGGAUAGGCAAAUUGAAAAAUACAAAUAUAAUGGCAUAUUAUUUCUCAAGAAAUGACAAAUAUGAAGAAUGUAAAGUAACUUAGGAAGACAUGAAGUCAAACCAAGGGAUGAAGGUAGAAUCAGGACAAACAUCAUCUACCUAUCUAUGUAUAUACUGACUAUGACAACAUAAAAUAGAAUAAAAAUGACGCCAGCAAACUCCAAAUAAAAUAUGCAGAAGCAAUUUAAAAAGGGUUCUAAAGGAGACAUGGAAACAAGUAGGAUGUUUUAUUUUCUGGUUAAUGUAUACAUUUUUAAAAAUUAAUUGUAAAUAACUUUGAACCUGUGGUUUUACAAAUGAUCUUUUUUUAACUUAGUUUGCUUACGUCAACACCUAUUAGUAGACGACAACAGUGAUCAAAAUAGAAGGGGUUUGCGCUGUCCUUUCAAGUGCGCAGGAGUCAUGAGCAUCUUGGGUUUGAAAGGCUUUGCCAUCAGGGGGUUAGCAGUGGCUGAGCCAGGUCAGGCAUUAAGCAGUGGAAUCUGAUACCCCAUGUAUCCAGUUUCUCCACAAUCACAAUAAUAUUUCCAUUAUGCCUCACUACAUUCCCCACUGAGUCCCCUGUAAGCAUAUACAGAGGGACAUUAGACACUGCACAAGUUGAAUGCAAUUAUACUUGGUAGGAUAUAUUGGUAUGUUUAUGGGAUGUGAUUUCAUUAAAGAGAGGGAAAAAAAGGAAAUUUGCUCCAAAUAAAAAGAUGAAGCCAUGAAUCCAAAUAGAAAAAAAAAUUACAAAAGGUUCUCUUAGCACUGGUGACUUAGCUUAUUACUGGAUUACUUUUUGAUAUUGCUUUCUUUUGUGUUUUUCUCUAUAAAAUUUUUUUCCAUCCCCCAAUUUGAUAAAAACUCAGAAUUAACUUAUUUAAAACUAAAGAGGUAGCCUUGGUUACUGUUGUUGGUGCAUUGGAUAAAGAAAGUUUGCUGCUUCUGUGGUUCUAACUAGCAUGUUUCUGACCUGUUGUCUUGCCCUUAGCUGCAGGAGCUCUCAUUCAGUGAUCCUAGAAAAGGCCUGGAGAGAGAGGUAUUUGUAGCAUCUGAGAGAGAAUCAAGAUAAUUUAAUAUAAAACCCCUCUCAUUUUAUAGAUGAGGAAACUGAGAGGUGAAUGAUUUAUCUAAGGUCAUGUGGUAUAUAUGUAUUUUAUAUAUACAUAUAUCUAUUAUAUAAAUAUUAUAUAUCUAUAUAAUUAACAUUUAUAUAGUACCUACUAUGUGUGAGUAACUGUGCUAAGUGCUUUACAAAUAUUGUUUCAUUUCAUCCUCAAAACAAUGGUAGGAGUUAUCUUUAUUUUACAGAUGAGGAAACUGAGGCAAACAGACUGACUUGCCCAGAGCCACAUACUUCUUAGUAAGUGUCUGAGGCUGGAUUUGAACUCAGGUUUAACCUGCCUGCAGGCCUAGUACUGUAUCCACUGGGCCACCAAGUUGCUAAUAACGAUGCUGAGAAUUCUAAUAACUAAUAUUUACAAAGUGCUUUAACGUUUGCAAAGUACUUUAGAUGUUACCUCAUUUGAUCUACCACUGCCAGGAAGCAGGGGAGUAUAGAUUUGGAUUUAGAUCAUCUGAUUAUAAACCCAGUGUAUGGGUGAUCAUGCCACCAUAGUUUCUCAAAUGGUUUUUCCAGUGAAUUCCUUGGGUUAGUGGAGGUUGAGUCCAUGAAAAAGUGAUCCUGCCUAAACUGAGGGGAGUUUUCCCAGAUGCACAGCUCUUCUCUUAGCCUUCCUUAAGGACAGAGAAAAUGCUAUCUUUCCCCUCCAUUUUUUAUCCCAGUGACCAGUACAUUCCCCUAUAUUUAACUGGCAUUUAAUGAAUGCUCGUGGAAUGAAUAUAUGAAUUAGGAAGUCAAUGUCAGAUAAUCAGAAAUGUUUUCUUUUAUUUCUUUUAGUGAAAUAAGGAAGUAAUCGUGUCUUUUGCUUCUUUCAACACAUUUCCAAAAUUGGCACUGUUUAGGCACGUCUCCUAUGAUUUUUUUUAGUAUAUAAGCCUCUUAUAUACAGAGCCACGAUAAUGAGAAGUAUGGCAUUUUAUAUACACAACUGAUGGAUCCUUAGCCUAUAAAACAGUUUCUCCUUCUUUGUAUAACAGGAUCAUAAUAAGAUCAUAGUUUAAAAACUAGAAGGGACUUUAAACAUCAUUUGUUCAACUCUCAUUUUACAGAAAAGGAAGCUGAGGUCUAGAAAGGUUGUGACUUGCCCAGAGUCACACAGAGGAGACUGGUUUAGAAACCAGACCCCUUACUUUUUUCCCUUGUGAUUCCCUGUCAAUUCAAUGUUUUUGUUUUUCUAUUCAACAAGGCUGUGCACAAGCUUGAAAUGCUACGACUCCUGAUUCUUUCUUGGGGAAAAAAAAAGUCAUAUUUCUUUUUAAAUAAAGAAAUUUUUCAAAGUUGACGUCAGAGAUUCUGGUUGGAACUGGUCCACCAGAUUCAACGGUGUCAGGACAAAACCUCUUCCACCCAGUGGGAAUGCCAAUUGAGGCAUCACUUCCUAUAACCUUUAAUCUAAUCUAGUGUUUCAUGCUUGCAAAAAGAAAUAAUAACUCAGCAACAGCAACAAUAAAAAAGGAAAGCGCUGGACCCCAUUCGACUGGUUCCAGAGCAAUCUUGCCCCUCUUAAGGUAUAAAAACUACUCAUCCGCCAUGUCAUGCCCAGUGAAUUCAGGCUAAACUGUUUCACCGGGCUUAGGGUAUAUUUUUGAUGUUAGCAUAGAAACAACAUUAGGUCACUUUGAAUCUCCAGUUACGAAGGGAUCACAUGAUAGUCGAUAGGACAUUGCUGGGUGCUCUUUCUCUUUCCUAUACCCUGCUCAGAACAAAUUUCAGGAACAUUUAAUUCACUCAAGUUGCAUUCCAGAAAAACUAGUGUCUUAUCAAUAGAACAAAAGAGAAUUUCCAUAUUCUAUUUCCAUAGAGGAAGGUACAAGGAAUAAAAUUAAAUAUGGUAAUGAUGUUUUCAUUUCCACUUGUAACUAGCUUGUCGAGUAAUUACUGCUCAUUGAAAGUGACCGUUUUAUGUACCUCCUGUCUGAAGAAUUCCCUCCCUGCUCUGCCCUACCAUAUCCUUGGAAUGUAGUAGAAGAACUAUCUUAAUACACUGGCCAUGCUUCAAAGUUUAGAUUCUUCCCAUUCAACACUAGAAAUCUCAUUGUAUCACUUGUACUAUAAAAGAGAUGGGACCUAUACACACACAUAUAUAUAUAAGCAUAUAAAUAUAUAGCUAUAUAGCUAUAAAGAGGAAGGAGAAACAAAGUAUUGUAAAAUAAAUUGUAUUUUAUAUCCAUUUUUAUGAUAAAAUUGGAGAUUUGCUCCCCAAGAGACAUAUAAUUUCAUAAUUUCAGGUGUGAGAAUAAAAGGAUUUUCCAAAAAGAUGAGCUAAAAACUUUUGAUGAGGAAGGUCUUAAAACACAGGAUAUAAAGAUUAAAGAGAACUGAGAGUUCUUCUAGUCCAGUCAUCUCCUUCUGUAGAUGAGGAAACUGGGACAUAGAAGAGGCAGCACGGUAUAGUGGACAAAGCAAUGACUCGAGUCGGAAGACAUGGGUUCAAGGCCCACUUCCACUGCUUAAGUGACAAAUGAGUGACCUUGGGCAAAUCAUCUCUCUUGAAUCUUUGUUUUCUCAUAUGUGAAAUGAGGGAGAAAGUCUAGAGAGUCUCUGAGGUCCAUUCCAGUUCUAAAUCUGGUCUUUGGAUCCUAAAUAACUUGUCUAGGAUUACUUUAGUAAUAAGUAGAUGAACUAGGAUUUUUGGAUUUUCUGACUCCAAAUAUAGCAUUCUUUCCAUUGAGCCAUGAUGUCUUCUAGAAUGGAUAUUGAAUUCUUGGCCCAUGCCAAAGUCCUGAGCCAAACCUCUUGCCAAGAAGAAGAGUUAAUGUAUCACCCUUAGGGCUUGGACCAAAUGGAGGGACAGAAUAGCAAGAGAUAGUUAUGGAAAGACAGACCUAGACCUGUUUGUCCUUAACAAGGACUCUGAAUGCUGACUGAGAUUCCAGGAGGAAAGGCAUCAACCUUUUAGCAAUUCCAAGUACCUUCUCCUUUGGGGAAAGGGUAUCCAACUUGGGUAGUGCUAUAUGGAUGCACGAUUUCAUAGGUCUCUUUAAAAAAUCUAGAAAGGUGGCGAAGAGUAUGGAGUCCCAGACCUGAAGUUAAAUUUCAGGAAGACUGAAAUUCAAAUCCUGUCUCAGAUAUAGCUAUGGGAUCCAAGAUAAGUCUUUUAACCUCUCUCAGACCCAGUUUUCUCAUCUGCAAAAUGGAGAUAACAAUAGUACCUAUGUCAGAGAGUUGUCGUAUGGAUCAAAUAAGAUAUGUAAAAUAUUUUGCAAACUGUAAAACACUAUAUGAAUGUUGGCUAUUAUUACAAAUAUGUUUUAUUAUUGUCUCUAGUAUAUGUGAGGGCUUCCCUCAGAGGUAGGAUCCAACUAGUAUAAAAAUAUAAGUCUGAAGGAAACAUAAACCUCAUGAAAGGAAAAAGAAUUCACCCUCUUUUGACUUCCAAGUACCUUUGCUGUAUUGGGAGUGGGGUCUAUGCUAUGGUAGCCCCAACUUUCAGGGAAUGGGGUAACUGGAGAGGGAGAGACUUGUCUUGACUGUUUAUGAGCUUGUGUGAAUGAACUCUUUCUAUUUGGGGUUUUUGGUGAGGUAAAGAAAAACCUGGAUUCAAUGUAUUCAAAGUCCCCCAGGUACUUUUAAAGGGAGGUUAAGACUCUUUUAACUUUUCUGGAAAGAUCCAAAUAUGAGCUUUAGUCUGAUGUACCUAGAGUAACCUUGAAUAGGGAUAGGGCUCAAGAAGAGUGAAUUGGGAGAAGGAUCUAUAAUCGAAUCCAAUCUGUGUAAAUCCAUAGUCAUGGGUUAAUGUUUAAAAUUGUUGUUCUUGUAAUUACCAUUUUUUCUAAGCCUGUGAUUUUAUUGGUAUACAGAAUUUCUAGGGAGAAAACUUCCUCUGCCAAUAUAAUAAAAGUCUGCUCUGAGACUUAGUCUUAUUACAAAAAAUAGUACCCGAACAAGGAAGAUAAUUGUUCUGGUGCUCUUUGCCCUGUACAGUCCAUAGUUGGAGAACUUUGUCCAGUUCUGAGAGCCUCAUUUUAGGAAGGAUAUUAACAAGCUACAAGAAUGACCAAGGGAGGUCAGGUCAGCCAAAAUAGCAAGAGGACUGGAGACCAUGCCAUAGAAGGACUGGGAUGAAGAAAGGAUGUUUAGCCUAGAGAAGAAAAGUCUGAGGGGACAUAAGACUAGUGUCUCAAAGUAUUUGAAGGAUCACCUUGUAGGAAAAGAAUUCGAUUUAUUUUGCUUUACCCUAGGCUGCAAGAACAAUGUGUAGAAGAGGUAAACACCUUUUGGCUCCAAGCACAGAAAAGUUUCUAGCAUCAGGGGCUGGUUGAUUAGAUGAAUUCACCAUUACUAGAAGUCUUCAAGAAAAGACACUUGUUAAGGGUGUUUUAGAGGAGAUUCCUACUCCAGUGUGGGUCAGAUUAGCUGAUUCUUUCCAAUUUUGAGAUUCUAUGGUGGUCAUUAUCAUGGAAUGCUAAAUAUUCUUGUAGCACUCUCAUUGCUGGGGCAGCUAAAUGGUGCAGGGGAUAGAUUACCAGGCCUGGAGUCAGGCCAACCUGAAUUCAAAUUUGGCCUGAGAUACUUACUAGCUGUGUGACCUCAUUCAAAUCAUUUAACCCUGUUUGCCUCAGUUUCCUUAUCUAUAAAAUGAGCUGCAGAAGGAAAUGGCAAACCACUCAUGUCUUUGCCAAGAAAACCCCAAAUGGGGUUAUGAAAAAAGUCAGACAAGACUAAACAACAAAAGCACUUUUCUCUGUUGUCUAUUAAAAAUAUUUUGUAUCACUUUUAGAACUAACUUUGCAAUGCUUUUUUGCUCCUAAGGCCUAUUCUCCAUCCUACUCUGCUUUCCAGAUUUCCCUCCCCAGACACAGGAUGCUCUCUCAGUCGGAAAGAUCUUUGGUCUUUAAGUCAGAGCUCUUAAAACUGAGCAGAGACAUCAAAGCAUGUGAGAUCCAGUUGAGGUGGAGUGUCAGGAUUAAAGUUUCUAUAACCAAAGGAAGGAAUUCUAGCUCUCAGACAGUAUUAACUCUAUGGCCAUAGUAGUCAGCAGUUUGCCCUAAGCAUGGAAAUCUGUAUCUUUUGUCCCAUACUGGGAACCAAGAGAGCAAAGUGCCAGCUUGGAGUGGGAGCAGAGUGGAAAGAGGGAAUUCGUAUAGUUGCUGCUUAGGAGAUAAUCUGUUGUUUGCAUUUCGUUAUGUUUUUAUUUACUUCAAAUAAUUGCAAUCUAGUAUACUUGGGUAGGUCGUCCAUUCAGAUGUUUUUCAGUCAUGUCUGAUUCUUUAUGACUUCACUUGGAGUUUUCUUGGCAAAGAUAUUAGAGUCAUUUGCCAUUUCUUUCUUCAGUUCAUUUUGUAGACGAGUAAACUGAGGCAAAAUAGGGUUAAGUGACUUACCCAGGGUCACAGAGGUACUAAGUGCCCGAGACCAUAUUUGAACUGGGGUCUUCCUGACUCCAGGCCUGAUGCUCUAUCCACUGUACCAGCUGGCUACUCCAUUUUGGUUAUAUAUGAAGCUUAAUUCUUAAUGUCUCAAAGAAAAGGAAGG